rnacentral:lncRNA from 1 species
UAAAUCCAAAUGGAAAAUGAAAGUUGUUCAAAAGUCGUUGACAAACAAAUUAUACACUUGUAUUUCACAUCCAAGAAGGUCACAUUGUCAAAUGUGCUUCAUGUUCCGGACAUGAAUUUAAAUCUUCUAAACUGGAUAUUGAGUCCAAUUGGCAAAUGAUCAUAUAUCUUCACAAUAUUAGCUGUUAUACCAAUUCUUCGUUGAAGAUCUCUUUUGGACAUGGAAUAACCCCACUAUCUUAGCUCCCUUCAUUCAGACACAAUUCAAUGUUUCUUACUAAAAGAUUUAAAUUAUCUCCAUUAUUUUUAUCGUUGUUGAUUUCAUCCCAUAACUUCCGGUCUUUUCCUUGCACAACACAAAUACAUUUGUGAUCUCCUCCACUGCACAAACAUGAGCCAAAGAAUACAC